GCAUAAUAAGAGUACAGACAUUGAGAAAAUGGUCACUGCUACAUUUCUUGGCUUUGUCAGGGUUUUGUUGGCGCUCUUUUCAGACGAUCUGGGUCAUGUUCAGGACGAUGGUUCUUCAAGUGCAUGAUUAAAUUGGUAUUCUUACAUCACAUGUGCUCAAGCAGUGCAAAUGGUUAUUUUACUCUCUGUUUAAGACACAUUAAGAGAUUCUAUUAAGCUGAUUUCUAUGCCGUACAUAUCAGAGGAAAUUUUCAUAUCUGGGAUCACUUUGCAUCCUUACUUUUCAGGUUUUUACAUGUAAAAUAUCACUAAAGUGAUAACUCUAAGGGCGUGUAUCUUUAUGUUUUAUUAGCCUGUGUUGAUAAGAAGCUCAAACACUUACAGGCCUUAGUGCCGUAGCUACAAUAUGCACCUUGUCCAUUCAAACUCACAACCUUAUGCUCAUCAAAACACACUGGAUCUUCUCAAUCACGAGCUCAUGCAUUAUGCUUCCAUUAACAAAGACAAACGAGGCAGUAGUAUGAGCGGGGAGCUCCCUGAGCAAAGAUUUACGAUGACACCAGAUGUGGGACGUUUCAACGGCGCCUGUGAUCGCUGUAAUGAAGGCAUGAGGCAGAGAGCAUGAAAUAAAGCGAGAGGCCUAACAAUUCCAAAGCCCCUUAAAACAAAUCAGCUAAAUCAAGCCAGCAGUGUCAUUAUCCACCCUCAGUAAAUCAGGCUGUUCCGUCGCCAUAAAAGCCCCGUCAUUAACGGUCACACGUCAUGUUCGUCAGAUUCACACAUUCUUCAUGCAGAUGAGUCCUAAACACAUGUGAGAUAGAUGGUAAAGACGCUCCUGACCCACAAUUCAGCUCUGCAACCAACAGUUAUAAAUCCAUGUAGAGCAAAUGUGAUGAAUCUUUUUCAUUUACUGACAUUAGUGUGAUGUGGACGAAUGGGUUUUACAUCUUUGGGUAUUACUCCGCAAUAUUUUAUAGAUGUGGGACAAAUUCACUCAACUUUUCAUCUUAGACAAAAUAAAUCAGUGGUCUCUUAGAUUGACAGGAUAUUUAUACCUGACUAAACGGCUUGAACACAUUUAUUUAAUAAGCUUAUUCUUGUUUUUUUGCUGUUUCUUGUUUAUUUACUUUUAAUUUUUAAGGGUUGGAUUAUCUCAAUAGAAAUUUGUGUUAAAAAAUAAACUCUUUUAGUGCUCUUCAGAAAUAAUCACUAUCACUUGUUGCUGAACAACAGUUUCUUUCGAUUAAUUAUCAAACAUUUAUUCAAAUAUCAAAAACAAAAAACUUACUCACAAUUUACCUGGACCCCAGCUUGAAUUUUAAGAUAAGAAACGGAAAAAUAGCAAAAAUAAUAUUUUUACAACUUUUCACAAUGUAUUUAUGAAUGAUUUACUGUAGUUUUCCUCCACAUUUUGUCCUCACUGGGCACCCAUAAGUGGAGUCUGAUUGUCUAGUUAGGUUGUGAAUUUCAGGAUUUUCGCAAAAGUUUGAUAAGUCUGAUACAUAACCCAGAAUUUGUCACUAUGAAUGUACAUCAUUAGUUUGCAUAUUACAGUCAGUUUAUUACGUCUGUAGAUUGUAAAUGCUGGAAAGUCGAGUCAACUUUAGAGUGUCAGUGUCUACAAAUGUUCUUCUGUUACUCCAAGAUGGAAACCAGUUUGAGAUCAUCCCCAAGUUUGAAUUUUACUUAAAGAAUUAAAUGAAACAACCUUAAUUGGGAUUAGUGCAUAGUCAUAAUGCUGUACAGCCUCCAUUGCUCUUUGUGAUAUUGCAAGAGUGUGUUACUUUUUUAAGGUACAUUUUGAGGGAGUAUUUUUAUCUUUGACAGAUAAUGAGACAGUACAUGAGAGGAAAGGGAGUCGGGUACGAAGCACAGGGUCGUGGUCAAGAUUUUGAACCGACAUCAAAGACUUGAGCCUCUGUAAAUGGGACGCACGCCAUGACUGUUGGGCCAAACUGACACCACAGAAGUUAAAAACUUAGUAGAAAUUUUUUCCAUUCACGUUUAGUUUGACCAAAGCUCCUAGUACACUUUUAGUUUUCUUAGAUUUUGGUGCCCCCUAUGGACAAAGCAGUACCUCUUAUUUCUUUGUGUUUACACGUCAAACUGUAUAAUUUUUAAUGAAAACAUUUUAGCUCUUGCUGUAAAUCUCUACGGUGAAAAAACUUACAAUAGACUUUUUUUGGCCAUGUGCUCUCAGUGACUUCUUCUGUCACCUACCCUGCGGCAGAAGUGUUUCAACUGGCUAUCUAUAGAAAUGGCAAGUCAUGCGGUGAUAGUCUUGCUCGCUCCAUAUUGAUUUAAGUCUGUUUCAUAGCCAGCUAAAAUCUCCUCACAGGAGCUUUAAGUUUUGAGUUAACUCACACAAGUGGGUCAUCGGAAAGACAAUACUGCGUCAAAUGGAUGAGGGAAAUUUCUGUGUCUAUUUAUUGCGUUAACUGACUCAUGUACAUCUGUUCUGCUACGACAAAGCCUAUUAAUCUCUCACAGAAAAUCUCUUCUCCACAUGUUCAAAUGUAAAAUACUUCCAGGGACCUGAGAUAAACUUGACGUCUUUGUGGCUUCAUGUUGAAUCACAGUACAGCUCCACCUGUUCGGCUUUGAAGUUCAACGUGAGCGAGACUCUCGGCCUUUCACCCACGGGGGAAACACAUCAGCACGUCCAUGUUAGAAACGGUCAUUUCUGCACAGCUGCACGCCACGUGUUCUGCUGUCGCUGGUCUGUUAUGGUUAAAGUUCACAUAGUUAUGCACAAAAACCACCUUUCCAGAAAUAAAUCCAUGCCUCAAAUACAUAUAUCAAGCAGCUUUCAAACACUUGUUACAGAUGUUUUGGUCAUGUAAUGAAUUUAACACCCUUCUGUCAGCAGUAUUAAUGAUCCGAGCGAGGGAUUUCCCCCCGUUGUUACACAAACAUUUGCUGCUUUGAAUAAAUCGUCCUCAUUGCUUAUGUGCACUGGAAAGUCAGGCAGAUCUCUGUUUAAGGGAAAAACGAAGACCUCUUUCAUGUUCAAUCAGCUGAGAAGUGUGUCCUCCAUCAUCCGGAGGAACGUGGGGGUUUGAUGUUUGGAGGAGAAAAAGGUUUCGGCCUCUCCAAACAAGUGCCAUAUUUAUCAUCACUUCAUCAUUUCCUCUCAUUUGACAAGGGAAAUAAACAGAAGAACACAAAGUCAGAGCCGGUUUUCACUGAGCUGACCUUAAAGAAGGAAGUGAGCCGGGUACGCCGAGAUUAUCUUAAUGUGGAUAAGUUGUGUGUGCACUGACUCACAAUGAAGUGUCUUUUUGAGCGAAAAAGCCGGCAGAAAAAGGGGGAAUUUUCCCUUCGAAGACAGUCUGUCAACACACAAAGCGAUGGAAAGAGCAACAGUGAGUUAAACAGUGGGCCCUUGUCUUUCAGCACUCAACAUGCCCUAUAAUUUACACACCACUGACAGCGGCCAUUUUGAAGUCUGUCAUAGGCGGCUAACUUUUUUUGUCUCUGAAAAACGUCUUGCUCAGAGUGAGUCGGCCUCAGCUCUUGGUCUGGGUGAUUAAUGACUUCUGGCCUUAUUGUGUGGAGGUGGCUAAUUAACUACAGGCUGACUGAAGAGACAUGCUAUGAAAACCCUCCUCUGAUAACCCACCUCCUCCUCCUCCUCUUCGUCUUGGCAUGUGGAAGCUCUUACUGACAAAUUUUGCAAGAAGCAGACAAACGUUGAGUAAGAUGAAUGGCCUCUGAGAGCAGUAAACAGCCUUUAAUUUAACAGUGUUUAAAUGUAUGACACGCUGGCAUUGUGCUUCCGCGCUGUUCGUGCUCUCCGCUUUGGGAAACCAAGCCAAAGUUUUCCCCCGCAGUUGAUUUUAAAAUUAGGCUUGGCAUAUUCGUGUAUAGGGGAGUUUGUGUAGCCGGAGCUGGCAAACAUGUGUUCAUUGCCUCUUUAAGUUUUCUGCAGUCGCUUCACACUGACAUUUUCAGACAAAGACAAUCCGUUUCUAUAGCAAACUCGUCUUUAAAUGUACCGAGGAGGCAGCCAAUAAGAACACAGACUGAUUAAGUCAUAAACAACUUUUCUGGAGCACAAAGACCACACUUUGUGGUAAAGUAACACCGAGCCCGUUUCGACAAUGAUAUUGCUACAGAUCACUUUCGCCCAUAUGGUUAAGCAUGCAUAUGAGUAGAGAUAGACCAAUUAAGCAGUCGGCAAAUUAAUUGGGCCGAUUACUGGCAUGUUGCCAUAAUCUGCAUCAUUUGGCAUUGGCUCUCACAAGAGCGAUUUCACUAAGAUCUUUGGAAAACACAUUUUUCCAAUCCUCAGUGACAGCAAAUCAUAUUAAAAACAGCAACUGGCCAGGGUUUAGUGUAAGUUCUAUAAUAAUGUAUAGAAUGUUAUAUAGCUAUAUAGCAUCACCCAGUCUGUUCACUAAUUCUUUAAAGAUUCACCAACAGUCUGUUAUGGGCUAAAAUAACCAUGUAUAUUACAUUUUUUAUGUGUUUGGAACUUGACAUAACUUUCUGCUUCAUUUCAACUAUAAUAUUCAGCAUGUAUUUUUGUUCAAUAACUUUAGAUGGCGGGAUAGAAAACCAAAAGACCCCUGUGACAAUAUUGUCCUGAGCCAAAUAUUUCUCUGUCUGAUUUACUUAUUGAAAUGAGAUAUAAUUGUAAUAAUUACAGACAGGAAAAUUGAUUUAGAGAGGAAAGAAAAACGUAUCACCACUCUACCAAAGCGACAGCCUCCUGUAAUGAAAUUUAAGCCACUGUAUAGGUGCAUGAAACUGCAGUUCCUCAAGUGUCCACUAGAAGGUGGCUGCAAAAAGCUAAGGGCACCUCAUAGGGCCCCAUUUUGAAAUGUUUAAUGCUUCCACAUAUAUAAAUAUGUUUACCGACUGGUGUUGUAAACAGCUUCAGUCUGUGCUGCUUUUCUUUAUUUGUACACUCUGGGUGUCGUUCAUAAAACAGGAUUUGCACAUAAAAAUUCUUGGUAUAAGAAAACUCACAUGGUAUUCAUGGAUACUGCAGAAAACUCUGAUUUGAUAAGAUCAUGUGCAUGUUCAUAAAUGCAAAAAAAAUCUUAAAUUGACAGCAUUAUCCCACUAGUAACAAUUCAGUAUGUGUUCCUGCCCAUGACAAUGACUACCGCAUAAAUAGGUAUGGAAAUGCUCAUCCUAUGUACCAGUAAGCACAGUGCAGAGAGUAAAGGAAAACUUAAAGAUGCAGAGACUGAAGUUAUCUACGGUGGAGUUGAGCAAAGGAAAUAGAUUUUAUUUUCCCGCUUUAUUUAUUUAUUUACAUUCGACUGCUCUCUCUAAAAUCAUAAUAUUCACACCAUUCGAACAUUAAUUCAUGUUAUUUUAUUGAUCACAUGCUAAGAGACAGUACCUCAGCGCCAAAAAACUAACAAAAUAAAUGUUUCCAGACACAGGAUGAUCAUCAUUUCACUGUGCACAUAUCUUUUGUUAUUAUGCAUAUGUUUUUGGCUACCAUAAAGCCUUUAUAUCAUGUGAUAACAAGGACAGAAGUUGUUGGUUUUUUUACAGUGCUGCUGUUUAAUUGUUCAUUUCCUUCUAAAGAUUCAGAGCUAACUGAGCAGAGUCAUUCUGUAAAUCAAUGCAGUGCAGCUUGUGGUAUAUACAGUUAUACCCAUCAGUGUCAUGCACUGUGAUUCACCGGUGCAUAAUCUGCUGCACUGAUCAUUAAUCAACCAGGGAGUGAGUCACUUUUUUACCAUCUUUGUACAUACAGUUAAGUUCUAGUUCAGUUAUGUCCUCUCAUCCAUUGAGGGUAGACAGUUGAUAACACCCUGACAGCAUUCCCACCUCCUCUUUCUUAUUCUACUGUACCGUUUAGUAACCUCUGUGACAAGGGGGAUUAAAGUGAAAGUAGGAAAACCAGGUACUUUACUGCUCAGCAAAAACCCCAGACUCCUUACAUGAGACAAUCCCAUGCUUUUCUGAUCUAAUUCCAGGUAACAAAUGCAUCAUAUUCAGACCAUUAUGAUUGUCAUCUUGUAUGCAUCUGUCUACUGUAUGUUUCUUGGAAAGGAUGAACUAUAAAUGGGAAUUCCCCCUUUGUGGGAUUAAUAAAGGAGUAUCUUAUCUUAUGAUAAUUCUAUAUUUAGCUUUUUUCCGCUGGGCAUUUUGGUCAACGAUAUCUUAAUCUGCCAGACAACUGCAUGUGAAACUACCUUAUGGUUCAAAUCUCCUCAUUCUUCAUUAUCACCAUUGUUAAGAUGCAGUGUUGCUCUUUUUGUAUUUAUGUCAACAGCCUAACUUAAUCAAGUUACCAUUGAACUCAUUGGACAGUUUUAGUGCCAGAAUUAUAACCUUGACCUUUAAGAUGAAGUUAGCAUUGGGCAAAACUUGGAGACUUUUUUUUCCUGGUGAAAUAAAUAAAAUAAAUAUUAACCAGAACUGUGACAAUGAUUAAAUAUAGCGUGGAAAAAUAAUGUUCUUUUAGGAUGAAAAAUGCUACAGGGACCCAAUGUGGUGAAAAAAUGCAUAAUGCCAGCUGGCAGACCAUUACAGGUGAUGGACAUUUCACUUACCUAAGUCAAAUCUACCAGACUGUUGUUCAUUAAUAUACAGGAGGGUCUGCAGAAUCCUGCCUGCCAUCUGGUUAAAUCGACAGAGUAAUCUACAGCUCGUGAUUAGGGCUGAGGAGCACGGUUUCUCUUUCAUCUUCUAGAAAAAAAAAAAAAAAAAGUUUCCAU